UCCGCAGGCGGUCUUAUAAGUCAGUGGUGAAAGCCUACAGCUCAACUGUAGAACUGCCAUUGAUACUGUAGGACUUGAAUUCGAUCGAAGUGGGCGGAAUAUGACAUGUAGCGGUGAAAUGCUUAGAUAUGUCAUAGAACACCGAUAGCGAAGGCAGCUCACUAGGUCUGGAUUGACGCUCAGGGACGAAAGCGUGGGGAGCAAACAGGAUUAGAUACCCGCGUA
rnacentral:rRNA from 1 species